UCAUGAUCUCCGCUAUGCCUCCUAUUACGCACGCGUAGUCAACGCCUGAUCGACCUCGCCCUCUCCCUCUAGAUCCCAGAGUUUCCCGAGCCUGAUCGUCCUUGGCUCCUCGCCCUCUUCCUCUAGAUCCCAUACUAGGUCUGUUCCUCGCCGGCACCGCCCGAUUCCCGGACACAUGCCCCAUGUCCUCGCCGGCACUGUCGGAUUCCCUAGGGACGGCGAUUCCUCAUGCCCGGUGGCCUCAUGAACGGAGUCGGGAAGGCCGGAAGGGCAUGGAGGCCAUGGGCGGCGAUAUCCAUAGGAUGCUCCACAAUCGAGUCCCGCACCUGGCCGUGUCAUCCUCCACGGGGUCUGUGGACACUGCGGCGUCUCCGUGGGUUCCAUGGCCACCGCCUCCAUGCGCAUCCUCCAGGGUCGUGGGCGACCAUGAUGUUGCAUCCGCCGCCGACCACGAUGCUGCGAACCUGGUGGCUAUGCUGGAGUAUAGAGAGCACCUGGUGCGGGAGAAGUGGAUCCAGAUCGAGACGGCCUAGAUCAUCCGCGAACGCCUCCGCUGGUGCUACCAAAUCGAGGGCACCAGACAACCACCACAGGAAGCUGGGGCAAGGACCGCCGCCCGGCCGACCUGCAUGGUAUUACUCUCUUCCGAAUCCUCUAGGCUAUGAUCCAAUUUCGUCUAUCACUGUUUCUACCGACCUUGGACCAUCCGACCGAUCCUGAGGCUAGCAUGAUGGAGUUCAUACCCUUUCAGCCUUCAAGGCUAUUAUUGGGAAAUUUUCAGGACUGAAAUAUAUUUGAUCUCAGAUGCAUGCAGUUUAAUAUUAGAUUAAGCUAUGUAUAACUUAUCUCUAUAUGUGUUGGCUUCCAAGCAAUUUCUUACAUGAACAUUAUGUUAUCCAUGUUUUAGUAUUCCUAUUUUUUAUUAGGACACUGCAGAUAUAUGUAGGCAAUUGGUAUGAUAAGAUUUUGGUAAUUUGGUUCGUACACCAUUAUAGCUUCACCUCUAAAUUAGAAACCUCUUAUUUUAUUUUCACUCUUUUAAUUUCCUUCUUAUACCAAGGAAUUUUCUGUCUACAUUGCGAAUUUUCUGUCUUCAUAUACCCCAUUAGAGCAGUAGCUUCAGUUCUAUGAUAAACAUUUAAAAUGAAGUUUAACAAAGUAAUUAUCGUUCAUGUACUGAAGUUAUUCCUAUUUGUACAGAUAAAAUUAUUAGCGAACUGCAUAUUUCUUAUUGCUACAUUGGUAAAUUCCUUUUUGGUGGAAACAAAAUGGUGUUUCGUUUCCUUUCCUAUAUAGUUAUUGUAGGUACCAGUGAGUAGUUAUGAUAUCCAUCAAAACUCCCAAGUCAUUGUUGAACUUUAUCUUGCCAUUUUGCAGUUUUGAUUUCCGGUUCAAUCUGACAAAGCAUGUUCGAUUCUAAGGAGAAACAUAGUACCAAAAUUUGGGGGGCAUUCUCUCCGCAUUGAAUGAGUCAGAUUACAAUAUCAAUAGCAAGUCUAUGGUGUAUUCCCCUUAUAUGCCAGUCUGAUUCCUUUUUUUUGAAUAUUUAAUUAUUUAUGUCUAUUGAUAUAUUAGAUUUGUAACUUCUACUAUGGAUUGCAAUUAUCCAUAUGCAUUUGAGCCCCAUCAGUGCACUUGUUCAGUUAUGCCAUCCUGAUUUCCCAUUUUAUUUGCUUCAUAUCUAUGGUUAGUUCAUGUUUCAGUUUGUGCUAAAAAAAGAGGUUAAAUUAUUGUAUGCUUGAUAAAUAUGGUCUCACCCAAUGGAAAACAAAGUGUAUACCUUUUAAGACACUUUGCAUAUGAGGUGCAUCGGCGCCGGGUAUCGUGCAACCUUUAAAUUCUGAAGCGUUAGAUAUUUCUUUUGACCGUAAGUCUUGUAUAUGUACUACCUAUGUAAGAAACAUGAAUCUUGUUUCUGGAUGGCUCACUGAGUAAAAUACAGAUUGGACAACAUAGUUGUGUUUUAGUGGAUGAGUAGAGGCGGCUCUAAAGAAAUAUUAUUCAUAAAAUUUUGCUACCGGAGAUAUAAGCUACGAGUUGUCAGAUUUUUUAGGGAACGAGCAGGGCCAUUAGGACACAGCACACCGUACAGGCUACUGACAUCAGCAACAUAAAAUAUCUCCCGAUCAGGGAAAGGCAUUGGGAAAGGAUGAAUCUGAAGUAAAUUCCUUCUGCCAAGUUGGUGUAUGUGUCAGCUUCCACAAAUCAGUUUCCAUGUCCAGUUAGUUUUCCAUUCUAAAUGGCUAAAGGUGCAUUCUCUUCAAAAAUAUGUUGUUACGGCUUAAGUGGUCCAGAAAGAAGAUAAUAUACAGAGAGGGACUAUUAAAGCAUGAGGUGCUAAUGAGUCCUGAAUUUGAUAUAAAUGGUGAGCGUAGCGGUAGAGUGAGUUGUGUGGGACGUGGCAGCAGAAGAGGAGGUGAUGCAUGGCGGGGCAGUGAGUUUUUCCUGGCGCGACGGCAGAAAGGGGAAGCUCGAGACAUGCAGCACGGGGGCAGAGUGAGCCGUGCGUGGUGGCAACCCAACGAGCCAUUGGGGAAUCAGGAGAAGAACAAAACGAUGUUGGGACACCGGGUUAUAGGGGAAAAGGGGAUAGCUAGAAAAUGGUUCUUUUCCCAUAAGUUGCAAAGCUUCUAGAAGAAGGAAACAUCGAAGUGAAUGAACAGAGCACAUACAGAGGAAGGGUGAUGUCGAUGAAGGAAAAGAACCAAACAGAGGUUUUGGUUAAACAAGUCAGGGACGAAACUGAUUUGGCAUCUUCGGAAAUCAUACCAAAGGUGUACCUAAAUUUCUGCACCUUUUCUAACAGGCAAAUAUGCCUAAGCAGUAUCUACCACUAAUGGGAGCGCCAAUUGCUAUGAACAGCUUAAGGACAUUCCGUCAAACAAAGGAAGUCGUAGUGGCGUGUGACCCAUCCUACACAAAUAUAUUUGGAGGUUUCGAUGUUGUCUGACUCAUCCUACAUUCAUUUGCCUUUAUCUACUUGGCAUCUAUACCUUAUUAAAAUUAAUUUAUGUGACUAAA